AACGAACGCUGGCGGCAGGCUUAACACAUGCAAGUCGAGCGCCCCGCAAGGGGAGCGGCAGACGGGUGAGUAACGCGUGGGAACGUACCUUUUGGUUCGGAACAACUCCGGGAAACUGGAGCUAAUACCGGAUAAGCCCUAACGGGGAAAGAUUUAUCGCCGAAAGAUCGGCCCGCGUCUGAUUAGCUAGUUGGUGAGGUAACGGCUCACCAAGGCGACGAUCAGUAGCUGGUCUGAGAGGAUGAUCAGCCACACUGGGACUGAAACACGGCCCAGACUCCUACGGGAGGCAGCAGUGGGGAAUAUUGGACAAUGGGCGCAAGCCUGAUCCAGCCAUGCCGCGUGAGUGAUGAAGGCCUUAGGGUUGUAAAGCUCUUUUGUCCGGGAAGAUAAUGACUGUACCGGAAGAAUAAGCCCCGGCUAACUUCGUG
rnacentral:rRNA from 1 species